ACUUGAAAACAACAGAAGGAAAGAAAAUGUUUCCAAUGAAUGAAACGAAGUAGUAUAAGUCAGAGCUUAAAUGGUCUUCCAUGGAACUUUCAUUGUUGUUACUACGAUUAUUUUAUUCACCUUCCAUUCCACGCGUCUUUACGUAAUUUUACAUUGACUUCUUGUUUGCAUAGAGAGUGACUUUCUUUGAACUGCUCCUUCAUCUCCAAAUUCAACCCCAUGGAGAAGAUUCAUCCUUCUUAGCAGAUAGAUGGUUGUAUCUUGAAAUCCCAGCACCCAAAUCACUCUCAAUUUCUCAUCUGAUCAAUUUUGAUAGAGGCGGAGAGAGAGAGAGAGAUGGAUUCUGAUGAACGGCCACAGCAAGUAACAGGGGUAGUUAUAAUAACUCUUCCACCAUCUGACAACCCUUCUCUAGGAAAAACAAUCACAGCUUUUACUCUUACUAAUGAUGUUUUCCCUCAAUCUCACCAAACCCAACAACGCCAACAACAAGAAGAAGAACAGACUUUGCCAACAACCCAGAUUCUAACACCAGCUCCACCUUCACCACAAAACCCUCAGCUUGGAUUCUCAUUCUUGGGACUCUUUUCUGAUAACCCAAGAAAGCUAUUAGGCUUUCUGGGUAUCUCCCUCUUUGCUCUUCUUCUUUACAGUUCUGCUUUCUCUAAUACUUUUGUAGAAUUAAGGAAUUCCAACAAUGAUGAUGAUGAAAAGCCAGAGUCUUUUAUCUUCCCUUUGUAUCACAAACUGGGGGCUGAUUCGGAGCUCAAGUUGGGGAGAUUUGUGGAUGUUGAUACGGAGAAUUUGGUGGCUUCAGUUGAAGGUGGUGCAACGGGAACUCAGAAGAUCAACAAAUUGGUGGCUUCUAAUGCUGCUGUAAUUGAUUCAGCCGGUACUAUUUUGCCUGUUAGGGGCAAUGUUUAUCCGGACGGAUUGUACUUCACAUACAUGCUUGUUGGGAAUCCUCAAAGACGUUAUUUUCUUGAUAUUGAUACUGGAAGUGACUUAACAUGGAUACAAUGCGAUGCUCCUUGCUCCAGUUGUGCCAAGGGAGCAAAUCCUCUAUACAAACCCACAAGAGUAAAUAUCGUAGCAUCCAAGGACUUAAUGUGCACGGAGGUACAGAAGAAUCAAAAGCCUCAAAAUUGUGAAACCUGUCAACAGUGUGACUACGAGAUUGAAUAUGCUGAUCGUAGCUCCUCCCUGGGGGUUCUUGCAAGAGAUAAACUUCACCUAGUGACUGCAAAUGGAUCAACUACCAACUUGGAUGUGGUUUUUGGGUGUGCAUAUGAUCAGCAAGGCAUACUUUUGAACACUCUGUCAAAGACAGAUGGAAUUCUUGGACUAAGCAGGGCUAAAGUUAGUCUGCCUUCUCAAUUGGCAAGCAAGGGAAUCAUUAACAAUGUGGUCGGUCAUUGCCUUGCAACAGAUGUUGGUGCUGCUGGAUAUAUGUUCUUAGGUGAUGAUUUUGUGCCAAACUGGGGCAUGUCAUGGGUCCCUAUGCUUGGAAACCCUUCAACAGAAUUUUACCAUACACAAAUUGUGAAAAUCAAUUAUGGAAGUAGCUCCCUCAGUUUAGGCAGACAACAUAGCAACAUUGGAAGAGUUGUGUUUGACAGUGGCAGUUCUUAUACGUACUUCACGAAACAAGCAUAUGCCGAAUUGGUUGCUUCUCUUAGCGAGGUUUCCGAGGUGGGAUUUAUCCAAGAUGUAGCAGAUACAACAUUGCCAAUGUGCUGGCAAGCUCCAUUUCCUAUCAGAUCUAUCAAGGAUGUUAAGCAGUUCUUCAAGACUUUAACCCUUCAAUUUGGGAGUAAUUGGUGGAUUAUUUCCAAGAGGUUUCAUAUUCCUCCAGAAGGCUACUUGAUCAUUAGCAAUAAAGGUAAUGUCUGCUUAGGCAUCCUGGAUGGAAGCAAAGUACAUGAUGGAUCAACAAUUAUACUUGGAGGCAAGUUUGGCACACCAAAACCUUUUAAUUCUUCAUAUUAUUUCGGUUCAUGAGUUCUCGGUAAGCCCAGUCCUUGUUUUGAGAAUGUUUCAAUUCCAUGAGAUCCUAGCCUAAUCUUUGAAAUCUAAUGCCUUCUAAUGUACAAAAUGUGUUAUAUCGGUAAAGUCUUCACUUCAAAUUCAAUCUAUCAAUAUCUAUUCCAACCACCGAAACUAUCGCGAGUUUCUUUCUCAGUUUCUCUAUCAGACAAAUCAAGGGCACCUUCAUUCUUGUCCUUCAUAAUGGUUAACAUGGGGAAACUGUAAAUCUGAUAUAGACAUAUCACUACGGGGGCGAUUGGUCGUCUAUGAUAAUGAGAAACUGAAGAUUGGGUGGACACAAUCAGAUUGUGCCCAGCCAAGAAGAUUCAAGAGCCUCCCAUUCUUUGAAGGAUAGUUUGGCUGCAUGACUGCAUUAUAAUACCACAACUACUAUACUCAUAUCUGUACAUUCUAAGAAUACACAUUUGCCCUCUGUAAAUUUUUCUCACUUAAUGCGUCUGCUUCUUCUAGACUAUUUAUUUGCCGAAAUAUAGAACAUGAGUCCUUUAGUAUCCAA